rnacentral:lncRNA from 1 species
GUGGAAGGUGGUGGUGCUGGGUGGAUCUAGCAAAGCUUCCCAAAUUAGCUUGCUAGCCUUUCAGAUCGAGUGCUGCAAGAUCCCCGUAAGCUCUCUCUUGGCCGUCAUGGACGCGGGGAAGGGAGUGGCGGCUUGGAUCUUGCAGCUCUUUCCGGUUGAAGGAAUCCUGGGGGUGUUCAUGGUGGCUGCGAACUGGAGCAUAUUCUCGGAGGCGCGUCAUCGACUUCCUGCCGGUUCUCCGCUGAUCGCCAUGGCCGAAGGGCGGCCGCUCCAAGCACUGCUGCCAGUGGUUCCUCUCUGGUGCUCUUGCUCUUUCAACCUCCUGGUCUUCGAACCAAAAGGGAGGUCUUUCCAUGGCUCGGGCACGACUUCCAUCGUCUUCUCCGUCCCAAGUGGUAUCGGGUGACGGUGAGGAUGGCCGUGUUCUGGAGCUUCAGUGCAGUGGUGAAGGUCGUGUAUGCGUUUUACACUUUUAUGUUAGGGUCUUCCUAGUAAAAUCUGAGGGUUACGUUGUAAAUUUUUGUUUUUCGUAGGACCUUCAUGUAACUUGUACCAUCACUGUCUUUAUCUAAUGCAGCUUCCAG